GACGAACGCUGGCGGCGUGCUUAACACAUGCAAGUCGAACGGAAAGGCCCUGCUUUUGUUGGGUGCUCGAUUGGCGAACGGGUGAGUAACACGUGAGUAACCUGCCCUUGACUUUGGGAUAACUUCACGAAACUGGGGCUAAUACCGCAUAGAAUCUCCUGCUGCACGUGGGGCGUUGGUAAGUUUCGGCGGUUGGGGAUGGACUCGCUGCUUAUGAGCUUGUUUGUGGGGUAGUGGCUUACCAAGGCUUUGACGGGUAGCCGGCCUGAGAGGGUGACCGGCCACAUGGGGACUACGAUACGGACCAGAAGCGUACGGGAGGCAGCAGUGGGAAAUAUUGCACAAUGGGGGGAAGCCUGAUGCAGCAACCCCGCGUGCGGGAUGACCGCCUUCGGGUUGUGAACCGCUUUCGCCUGUGACGAGGAGUGCGUGACGGUAAUGGGUAAAGAAGCACCGGCUAACUACGUG
rnacentral:rRNA from 1 species